rnacentral:rRNA from 1 species
GCGACCGGCGCACGGGUGAGUAACACGUAUCCAACCUGCCGACAACACUGGGAUAGCCUUUCGAAAGAAAGAUUAAUACCGGAUGGCAUAGUUUUCCCGCAUGGGAUGAUUAUUAAAGAAUUUCGGUUGUCGAUGGGGAUGCGUUCCAUUAGGCAGUUGGCGGGGUAACGGCCCACCAAACCAACGAUGGAUAGGGGUUCUGAGAGGAAGGUCCCCCACAUUGGAACUGAGACACGGUCCAA